UGGUCAAAGGGGGUCUUUCGAGAAAUGAAAAGAAAUGUUUAAAUAGUUCUAGAAUUCUUAUAUGUUAACUACGAGUUAAAACGAAAAAAAAAAAAA
rnacentral:ribozyme from 12 species